rnacentral:rRNA from 1 species
UACGGAGGGGGCAAGCGUUGUCCGGAUUUACUGGGCGUAAAGAGCGCGCAGGCGGUCGUUCAAGUCGCGUGUGAAAGCCCCCGGCUCAACUGGGGAGGGUCACGCGAUACUGAUCGACUCGAAGGCAGGAGAGGGUAGUGGAAUUCCCGGUGUAGUGGUGAAAUGCGUAGAUAUCGGGAGGAACACCAGUGGCGAAGGCGACUACCUGGCCUGUUCUUGACGCUGAGGCGCGAAAGCUAGGGGAGCAAACAGG